CAGGCCUGUUUCUUCCUGGUGCUUCCAAGGAUUGUGGACAAAUCUUUACAAUUUGGUGACUAAUUGCAUGAGAAAUUCAGUAGCAAUGAUGGGCAAAGUAUUAAACCAACCAGUGAAUCGUAAUGCACGCUACGAGUGACGGCAAGCAAAGGAACGAAAUUGAUGGCCAUCACCCAUACAAGAGAUUUAUUAUAUUCGUGGCAAGGCUGUUUAACUGCACUAAUGAGUUGUAAAGGGAAGGACACGGCAAUGCUCUGAUUUCUUGAUGGUUCCAAACAUUAUUUGGGGAUGAACCAACUACAAAAGAGGCCGGUUGAGGUAAUAAGAGAUUGGCUUAUUCUUGUCUGCUGAAAAAUUAACUUCUUGGUGCCAAUAUUGAAGAUCUUAAAGGCCAGUGUAAUGAGAGAAGAUCGUUCAUUCCAUUGGAGGGAUCAGAUAUAUUUCAGAAUAAUGAAAAACAAAACAUAAGAUGCAAAUAAUAAGAAGAUCAACAGAAC